rnacentral:lncRNA from 1 species
UAAUCAGAGGAUCCAAGCUCCGACUCUCCAGAUUCCGAUCCAGGAUCCGAAACCGGUCCUUGAUUCUCAACCAGAACCUCGCUGCCGAUGAAGACUCUGCUGGUUCCGCCGCCGCCGCCUAAACUAUUAAAAAAUCAAAAAUCAGAUUCGAAACCAAAAAAAAAAAGAAAGAAACUCAGAUUCGGACAAGAACAAACAUACAAAUUCAAUAGCGGCAUCGAUCUUAACCUUAGGUCGCUUGGUAGGGGGUGGAGAUGAUGAAGACGGUUCAGGGGAUAAAGAAGAAGAACAGAAACGCUUGAAAGCCGAAGAGCUACGUCUCGUCUCCACGAUAUCCCAA